rnacentral:misc_RNA from 1 species
CAGCUCAGCAAUCUUAAGUAAUUUUUAGUCCACGGUCAGUCCAUGUCUUCAUUGGUCGACGUAUUUUCUGACAACAAAAGUGAACACGUGCUUUAAAUUGCAAUAAACUGUUCUAUCUUUUGGACUGAUCUUGUUACGAACAAAGAGGAUAUUGGUUAAGAUCAGGAAUUCCUCAGUAUCAAUAAAGGAUUUUGUUUACUGAACAAACUUGUAACAAUGGGUAUAUUUGGUGACUCCAAGGGGAAAAAAAGUAGCAAAAAACAAAGAAAACCUAAGCUAGUUGUGAAAACACGCAAGGAAUUACGUAAGGAAAACAGGCAGCGGAAAAAGCAUAACAGGGCUGAAUAUUACGCAAAGAAGAAUCAGUUACCUGGAAAAUCAAUUUUGAAUCCUAAUCACGACAAACCAUCAGUAAAGUCUACGUUACCUCAAAGCACGAAUCAAAAUGCUACUCUUGAUGUUGCGAAGAAAAAACAGAAACAAGAAAAAAAACAACAGCUGCGACUAGAAAAAGAAAUGAAACGAAACAGAAAAAUUCAUCUGAAAGAAGCUAACAUUGCGGAAGAUAGGAUUAUCAAGCAGUUAGAAAAAAAUUUGAAACUAAACAAACGGAAGAGCAAAUCAGUACCAAAGUCUUUUGCAGCUGAUGGUCUUAGUUAUCUUCUAGAAAUGUGUGAUGAUGAGAACAGAAAACUUGCCGUUGAAACCGAAAAGCAAUUGCUAGCUGCAGAGUCAGGUUCAGAAUUAGAAGACGAUUUCAUCAUGAUCACAGAUUCCGCGAACAAAAAACAACAGGAAUUGUCUAGGAGUAAUGAAUCUGACAAUGACAAGAGUAAUAGCUCAGAUAAUUCCGAAGUUGAUGAGAAUAGUAGUGAUGAAGGGGAAUCAUCUUGUGCAAAGAAUAUGACUGAACAGCAGACGACUGGCAACAAUAAACGAAAAGCUGAUUCUGAAAAUGCAGUUCCAUUUAUGCCACGCAAAAAAAUGUUAGCCAAAAUUAACUCUUCCAAUAGUGACACAGAGCCCUCUACGGGUGACAGUGAUCCUGACGAGGACGAAAUGCUGGCUGAUGUGGAAUAUGAAACGGAUUCUGAAAAUCCCAAUGAAGGUGCUAAUGAAGAAUCCAAUCAGCUUUGGGAAGAUAUAUAUGGUAGAACGAGAGAUAAGCUAGGAAAUAUCGUAUCAAAUACUACUGGUAAAUAUGUCCCACCUGCGGUAAGAGAUAGACUGAAAAAUUCCGAUUCCUUAAAGGACGAAAAAUUGAUAAGACUCAAAAAACAAAUAAAAGGCUUAUUGAAUAGAUUGGCUGAACACAACAUGCAUAGUAUUGUCUCACAGUUGGAUGAACUAUACAUGUCCCACAGUCGUAACAACAUGAACGAAAUGUUGUUUACUCUGAUGAAAGAAUCUAUCGUUGCUCCAGUGCUGACACCAGAUCGCCUUAUUACAGAACACAUGAUGCUCAUAGCUAUCCUUCAUGCAAAUAUUGGAACGGAAGUUGGUGCGCAUUUUCUGUUAUCUUUAAUCAAAGAGUUUGACGAAAUGUUAAAAAGCUCACCUGAAGUUGAAAAUAAAGAGCUGGAUAAUAUCAUACUCAUGAUUUCACACCUGUAUAAUUUUAAGGUGUACGACUCUCAACUGUUGUUUCAAGUACUUACAAGACUAUCGGAAAAGUUCAUGGAAAAGGAAGUUGAAUUAAUUUUGCAUGUUCUGAAAACUGUGGGUUUUGUUAUGAGGAAAGAUAACCCAACUAUGCUGAAGGAGUUUAUAUUCAAGUUGCAACAAAAAGCUGCAGACACGACUGAGAAUAGCUCCAGGGUUCAGUUUAUGUUGGACAUUUUGCUAGCGAUUAAAAACAAUAAUAUGUCAAAAAUCCCGCAGUACGAUCCAACGCAUGGUGAACACUUGAAAAAGCUUAUGAAGAGUUUAGUAAGGAAAGGAAACUAUAUGACCCAACUAAACAUAUCACUAGAUGAUUUAUUGAAAGCUGACCAAAGGGGUAAAUGGUGGAUAGUCGGAUCAGCAUGGUCAGGAAACACAGAUAUUGGAAAACCUAUUCAAAAGACUGACACUAACUUAACAACGUUUAGUCAAAAAAUAUUGGACUUGGCUCGCAAGCAGCGGAUGAACACAGACAUUAGAAGAAAUAUUUUCUGUGUUCUAAUGACUGCAGAAGAUUUCCUUGAUGCUUUUGAAAAGCUGCAUCAUCUAGGAUUGAAGAACCAACAAGACAGAGAAGUCAUUUAUGUAAUUCUAGAUUGUUGUCUCCAAGAGAAAAAAUUCAAUCCCUAUUAUGCUGUGCUGGCACAAAAAUUUUGUGACUACGACCGGAAAUACCAGAUGACGAUACAAUACACUUUAUGGGACAAAUUGAAGACUUUGGAUAAUUAUACAAACCAUCAACUGACAAAUCUCGCCAGAUUUUUAACUCAUUUAUUCAUUGAAAAAGGGCUUGCUCUCUCUGCCUUGAAGGUAAUUCAAUUUGGGGAGCUGGACAAACCUACCUUAAAACUCGUCAGACAAAUCAUGCUAGGAAUUCUUCUCCACGAAAAUACAGAUGCCUGUACACAAGUUUUUGAAAGAAUAUCACUGUCACCGCAGCUACAGAAUUUCCGAGAAGGUCUCAGAUUAUUUAUACGCCAUUUUCUUUUAAAAAAUAUAAAGGUUGGAAUAAUACCAGAGGCCGAAAUGGUUAAAUUAAAAGAAAGAGCUGAAAUUGCUGAAAAUACGCUCACAAAACAUGGAGUGAAGACAGUAUUUUAGAACCUAAUUGAGAAGUAUAUCAUUUAAUGUACGAAGGAAUUUGGUUUACUGCAGCACGCACGGAGGACAGUUACCUGAGUGUAUUGGGUCUGGAUCUAUUCAAUGCAUGUUCUUUUCCAGCAAGAGCACUAGGGGGAAAUCAUACUAAGUGCUGUUCAACGAAUUCGCUGUAACGCUCAACCUCAGAAAAACCGAACGCGCGUUGAAAUGUGUAAAUAAAAAAUAAGAUGGAAAAUAAUAUAAAAUAUUUAUAUGUUCGUUAUAUCGUUGUUUUGAAUUCUCACCCAACCUCACACGAACUCUUGGACAUAUAAUAGGUUGCUAGACGGUUAACACAAUAAGAAGCAUCGUCGGGGUUAAACUUGGGU